rnacentral:rRNA from 1 species
AGAGUUUGAUCCUGGCUCAGGAUGCAUGCUAGCGGCAGGCUUAACACAUGCAAGUCGAAGGGCAGCGGGGAGAGAGCUUGCUCUCUCCGCCGGCGACUGGCGCACGGGUGAGUAACACGUAUGCAACCUGCCCUCCACAGGGGGACAACCUCCCGAAAGGGAGGCUAAUCCCGCAUAUAUCCGGGGCCCGCAUGGACCCCUGAGGAAAGGUUAUCCGGUGGAGGAUGGGCAUGCGGCGCAUUAGCUUGUCGGCGGGGUAACGGCCCACCGAGGCGACGAUGCGUAGGGGUUCUGAGAGGAAGGCCCCCCACACUGGUACUGAGACACGGACCAGACUCCUACGGGAGGCAGCAGUGAGGAAUAUUGGUCAAUGGGCGGGAGCCUGAACCAGCCAAGCCGCGUGGAGGAAUGAGGCCCUACGGGUCGUAAACUCCUUUAGCCGGGGAACAAAAUGGGGCACGCGUGCCCUACCGAGUGUACCCGGAGAAUAAGCAUCGGCUAACUCCGUGCCAGCAGCCGCGGUAAUACGGAGGAUGCGAGCGUUAUCCGGAUUUAUUGGGUUUAAAGGGUGCGUAGGCGGUCUGUCAAGUCAGCGGUCAAAUGUCGGGGCUCAACCCCGGCCUGCCGUUGAAGCUGACGGACUAGAGAGAGAGAGAAGUAGGCGGAAUGCGCGGUGUAGCGGUGAAAUGCAUAGAUAUCGCGCAGAACCCCGAUUGCGAAGGCAGCCUGCCGGCUCUUUUCUGACGCUGAGGCACGAAGGCGUGGGUAUCGAACAGGAUUAGAUACCCUGGUAGUCCACGCAGUAAACGAUGAAUACUCGCUGUCCGGGGAGAUUGGUCUCUGGGCGGCCAAGCGAAAGCGUUAAGUAUUCCACCUGGGGAGUACGCCGGCAACGGUGAAACUCAAAGGAAUUGACGGGGGCCCGCACAAGCGGAGGAACAUGUGGUUUAAUUCGAUGAUACGCGAGGAACCUUACCCGGGCUCAAACGACGGAUGAAUACUUUUGAAAGGAGGUAGUCCUUCGGGACAUCCGUCGAGGUGCUGCAUGGUUGUCGUCAGCUCGUGCCGUGAGGUGUCGGCUUAAGUGCCAUAACGAGCGCAACCCCCAUCGCCAGUUGCCAACAGGUAAAGCUGGGAACUCUGGCGAGACUGCCGGCGCAAGCUGUGAGGAAGGCGGGGAUGACGUCAAAUCAGCACGGCCCUUACGUCCGGGGCGACACACGUGUUACAAUGGCAGGUACAGAGAGAUGCGACACGGCGACGUGGAGCGGAACUGUCAAAACCUGUCUCAGUUCGGAUCGGAGUCUGCAACCCGACUCCGUGAAGCUGGAUUCGCAAGUAAUCGCGCAUCAGCCAUGGCGCGGUGAAUACGUUCCCGGGCCUUGUACUCAACGCCCGUCA